UGGGUGUUCACGGAGCAAGUCUGCAAACU
rnacentral:piRNA from 1 species